rnacentral:rRNA from 1 species
GACGAAGGGGGCUAGCGUUGUUCGGAAUUACUGGGCGUAAAGCGCGUGUAGGCGGUUGUUCAAGUCAGCUGUGAAAACUCGAGGCUCAACCUCGAGACGUCGGUUGAAACCGUUUGGCUAGAGUCCGGAAGAGGAGAGUGGAAUUCCCGGUGUAGCGGUGAAAUGCGCAGAUAUCGGGAAGAACACCCGUGGCGAAGGCGGCUCUCUGGGACGGUACUGACGCUGAGACGCGAAAGCGUAGGGAGCGAACAGG